AUGCGUCUAAUAAAAGAACUUUUCUUAUUAAAUUAUUUUCUAUAUUCUCAUUUAUCUCGACUAUACCCCUCGUCUUCUAAUUCCCUCCAUGCGAACAAGGAACUUCGUAUAAUAAUCUGGAAGCCCGAAUCAACUAUUUUUUUAGAGAAAAGGCACGAAGGCCCGACUUCAAAUUAA
rnacentral:rRNA from 1 species